rnacentral:rRNA from 2 species
GAAUCCGCUAAGGAGUGUGUAACAACUCACCUGCCGAAUGAAUUAGCCCUGAAAAUGGAUGGCGCUUAAGCGGGUGGCCGACACCAUGCCGUCUGAAUGAUAAAUUUCAGAUGAGUAGGAGGACGUGGUGAUCGUGACGAAGUAUGCGUGCGAACGCGUAUCGAACGAUCACUAGUGCAGAUCUUGGUGGUAGUAGCAAAUAUUCAAGCGAGAUCCUUGAAGGGCGAAGUGGGGAAGGGUUCCACGCUAACAUUGAUUGGGCGUGGGUGAGUCGUUCCUAAGCCGAGUGGCAAUUGCUAAGUAACGGCGAAAGGGAAGCGGGUUUACAUUCCCGCACACGGAUGUGGAGGCGGUGACGCUUUAUUGGGGCGAACACGCUGGCGAUGGCGCUGGGCAGAGUUGUCUUUUCUGUUUGACCGUUUGCGCAUGCGGUGUGGAGUCCGCUUGUCGGGAGAAACACGCAUGCGCGGGCAGAGCGCCGGGGCUUAUCCGGCGUCCAGCUCGCCAUCGACGGCCCUUGAAACUUUGCCUGCUGAUUUUAGAAUCCACGCCGUGGCGUACCGAUCACCGCAUCAGGUCCCCAAGGUGAACAGCCUCUGCUCAAUAUGAAAAAUGCAGGUAAGGGAAGUCGGCA